AUUUGAUUGGUUUUUUAAUUCGAUAUUAAGAUAUAGAUCCAUCAUCGACGACAUCAUAUACUCUUAUUGCUGUUAUUUCUGGUGGUGAUGAAGACCCAAGAAGAAGAUCUCCUCAGGAGUAGUAGCAGCAACUUUCUUUGCAGGAGCAGCAGUUUUCUUCUUCUUAGGUGCAGCAGUAGUAGUUUCAGAUUUCUUGAAGGUAGUUGGAACAACAGCAGUAGUAGUUGGGUGAGGUUGAAAUGGGUUUCCUUUGAUUCAGGGUAAACCCAAGUUUAAUGUGAAGAAAUAAAACCAUAUUCAUACCUUUUGUUGUCUUUCCUAGGUUCUUUCUCAUGAUCUCUUUAUGGGUUUUUUUCUUUUCUUUUUGUGUUUAGAGAUAAACUGGUUUAAUUGAUUUUUCAUUCUUGUGUUUUUUUUUUGGAUUGAUUUUAGAAUAAAGGGUUGGUGUGGAGGUGUAUGUGAAGAACAACAAGUUUGAAGAAGUGGGUUGUUGUUGUUUGGACAA